GCUGGGGAUAACAUUUGGAAACAGAUGCUAAUACCGAAUAAAACUUAGUGUCGCAUGACACAAAGUUAAAAGGCGCUUCGGCGUCACCUAGAGAUGGAUCCGCGGUGCAUUAGUUAGUUGGUGGGGUAAAGGCCUACCAAGACAAUGAUGCAUAGCCGAGUUGAGAGAUUUUUCGGCCACAUUGGGACUGAGACACGGCCCAAACUCCUACGGGAGGCUGCAGUAGGGAAUCUUCCACAAUGGGCGAAAGCCUGAUGGAGCAACGCCGCGUGUGUGAUGAAGGCUUUCGGGUCGUAAAGCACUGUUGUAUGGGAAGAACAGCUAGAAUAGGAAAUGAUUUUAGUUUGACGGUACCAUACCAGAAAGGGACGGCUAAAUACGUGCCAGCAGCCGCGGUAAUACGUAUGUCCCGAGCGUUAUCCGGAUUUAUUGGGCGUAAAGCGAGCGCAGACGGUUUAUUAAGUCUGAUGUGAAAGCCCGGAGCUCAACUCCGGAAUGGCAUUGGAAACUGGUUAACUUGAGUGCAGUAGAGGUAAGUGGAACUCCAUGUGUAGCGGUGGAAUGCGUAGAUAUAUGGAAGAACACCAGUGGCGAAGGCGGCUUACUGGACUGCAACUGACGUUGAGGCUCGAAAGUGUGGGUAGCAAACAGGAUUAGAUACCCUGGUAGUCCACACCGUAAACGAUGAACACUAGGUGUUAGGAGGUUUCCGCCUCUUAGUGCCGAAGCUAACGCAUUAAGUGUUCCGCCUGGGGAGUACGACCGCAAGGUUGAAACUCAAAGGAAUUGACGGGGACCCGCACAAGCGGUGGAGCAUGUGGUUUAAUUCGAAGCAACGCGAAGAACCUUACCAGGUCUUGACAUCCUUUGAAGCUUUUAGAGAUAGAAGUGUUCUCUUCGGAGACAAAGUGACAGGUGGUGCAUGGUCGUCGUCAGCUCGUGUCGUGAGAUGUUGGGUUAAGUCCCGCAACGAGCGCAACCCUUAUUGUUAGUUGCCAGCAUUCAGAUGGGCACUCUAGCGAGACUGCCGGUGACAAACCGGAGGAAGGCGGGGACGACGUCAGAUCAUCAUGCCCCUUAUGACCUGGGCUACACACGUGCUACAAUGGCGUAUACAACGAGUUGCCAACCCGCGAGGGUGAGCUAAUCUCUUAAAGUACGUCUCAGUUCGGAUUGUAGUCUGCAACUCGACUACAUGAAGUCGGAAUCGCUAGUAAUCGCGGAUCAGCACGCCGCGGUGAAUACGUUCCCGGGUCUUGUACACACCGCCCGUCACACCAUGGGAGUUUGUAAUGCCCAAAGCCGGUGGCCUAACCU
rnacentral:rRNA from 1 species